rnacentral:rRNA from 1 species
CCUACGGGAGGCUGCAGUGAGGAAUAUUGGUCAAUGGCCGAGAGGCUGAACCAGCCAAGUCGCGUGAGGGAAGACGGCCCUACGGGUUGCAAACCUCUUUUGUCGGGGAGCAAAGCGAGUCACGUGUGACUCAUUGAGAGUACCCGAAGAAAAAGCAUCGGCUAACUCCGUGCCAGCAGCCGCGGUAAUACGGAGGAUGCGAGCGUUAUCCGGAUUUAUUGGGUUUAAAGGGUGCGCAGGCGGAGGUGCAAGUCAGCGGUAAAAUUGCGGGGCUCAACCCCGUACUGCCGUUGAAACUGCAUCCCUUGAGUGCGGGAGAGGUAUGCGGAAUGCGUGGUGUAGCGGUGAAAUGCGUAGAUAUCAGGCAGAACACCGAUUGCGAAGGCAGCAUACCGGCGCGCAACUGACGCUCAGGCACGAAAGCGUGGGGAUCGAACAGGAUUAGAUACCCCAGUAGUC